GAGUUUGAUCCUGGCUCAGGACGAACGCUGGCGGCGUGCCUAACACAUGCAAGUCGAGCGGGGAACUUCGGUUCCCAGCGGCGGACGGGUGAGUAACACGUGGGUAACCUGCCUCAUAGAGGGGGAUAGCCUCCCGAAAGGGAGAUUAAUACCGCAUAUACUCUCGGUAUCGCAUGAUACUUAGAGGAAAGGAGCAAUCUGCUAUGAGAUGGACCCGCGGCGCAUUAGCUAGUUGGUGAGGUAAGGGCUCACCAAGGCAACGAUGCGUAGCCGGCCUGAGAGGGUGAACGGCCACAUUGGAACUGAGACACGGUCCAGACUCCUACGGGAGGCAGCAGUGGGGAAUAUUGCACAAUGGGCGAAAGCCUGAUGCAGCAACGCCGCGUGAGUGAUGAAGGCCUUCGGGUUGUAAAGCUCUGUCUUCUGGGACGAUAAUGACGGUACCAGAGGAGGAAGCCACGGCUAACUACGUGCCAGCAGCCGCGGUAAUAC
rnacentral:rRNA from 1 species